rnacentral:rRNA from 1 species
UACGUAGGGACCGAGCGUUGUCCGGAUUCAUUGGGCGUAAAGAGCUCGUAGGCGGCCACUCAAGUCGAAUGUGAAACCUCGAGGCUUAACCUCGAGCCUGCAUUCGAUACUGGGCGGCUAGAGUCUGGUAGGGGGAUCUGGAAUUCCUGGUGUAGCGGUGGAAUGCGUAGAUAUCAGGAAGAACACCCGUGGCGAAGGCGGCUCUCUGGGACGUGACUGACGCUGAGACGCGAAAGCGUGGGGAGCGAACAGG